rnacentral:lncRNA from 1 species
CACAUGGACAUGAUGACUCUCUAGCGUUUAUGGACCAACCAACCUGUAAUCAUGGACCUUAUUGUCUUGUAGACCAUUUGGUGUUUCGAGUGUUUUGGAGCUUGCACUUUGUGCAUGUAGAUACAAACUUGUGUGUUCUGGACCAUCUGAAGUCUCUCAUAGUAACUAAUAGUCCUUAUCUUUUUGUGACUUGUGUGUUCUAGAUGAUUGUUAAGAUGGUCAAAACUAUGCUUCUUCUAGGUUAAUUUGUUUGUCAACUUGCGUUCAAUGUAUGUGCAUGUUUAUAA